rnacentral:lncRNA from 1 species
CGGACARAUUGGAGGUGUGAUGGGAAGUGCAGGGUAUGUGUGGACCUGAACAUUACGCGGCAGUAACGGAGACUGGUGUGUGCAGUGUGCUGAGGACAGAGCACUGAAGACCUUCUGGGCCGGAUCCAGGCAAGGUCUGCAAUGGAGGCUGCGUGGCCAUGUGCUUGUUCCAGCCAGGGUGUCACCAGGAGCAAAAGCCAUUUCAUGUAGCACUAACGGGAAAACCGGGCCCCGAGAGCUGCACAAGGGCAGAGACUGCUUUUGCUCUGCACUGGACAAGAUAAAUAAGAAAUUUUCUGGAUGGCUGACUGUGAAAUGCUGUUAAAGUUAUUUUUAUGCAAAGAGUUUUAGUGUAUCUGUUUAAAUAGCAAGUAUGCUAAACAAUGCUUUAAAUAUUAAUACAAGAGGGUGCUUUGCAGAAUUUAAAUUUGUCAAUUGAUUUUAGGCUAUUACCUAUAUUUCACAUAAUGCUUAGGAACGUUUGCUAUUUUUGUUGCCUGCAAGAAAAUGCAAGUAGCAAAGAGAAGCUCUCUGCAGAUUUAUAGGUGGACUGGAAGGAAGAGGAACUGAAAUGAUGACAAGAACAAGUCAGCUAGUCACGCUGGUUAGAAAAAUGGGAAGGUAGAGAGGGCAAGCAUGAAAAGUUCAAAAAAAACCUGUUAUUCUUAAUACGAGGUUUUACUUUACCUGUCUGAAAAAAAUGGGAAGAAGGGGAGGGAGGAGGAAUUUAUGAAAGCUGAUUACAUAUGUAUCCAUAUAUUUAAUCGGGAAAUGUUAUUAAAAUGUUGCAGGUUUUAACCAGAUCUAGAGUCACUUACCGACUUAAACAUAAAUUAAGUAAUAUCCUUUCCCUUUUUAGAAGCAGAGAACCCUGUACAGACAUGCCUUAUUCUUCACGGCUUCACUAGAUGGCUCUGCUCAUCUCUAGUCCUGGUGGCUUUUCCAUGCUAAGUAGGAAAGGACAGACAUAAUGAUGUUCAGAUGCCCUAAAUCAUUCUUAACUCCACUGAACUAAAUCUUCAGUGCAGAUAUUAGUUUCUUUUUAAAAAGAAAUAGUUU